CUGGGGGCCUCCUGGCCCCUAAACCUCCCUGUUGCCGGCAGAAGACAGCAAUCAUUUAGGCAGCCAAUCUGCCCACCCAGCAAUUAGGAGAGGAUAGUCGGAGGGGGAGUACUACCACUUUCCCUCCCUCACCACAAUAUUACAGAAGAAAAUGAAGACUUCUUGCUUACUUCAAAAUAAUGUCCUGCUUUCUUAGAAAAGUAAACAAGCAGUUCCAGUUUCUCUUCCUCCCUCUUUUCCAAAUAAAGAAUUAUUCUGCAUCCAUGGUACAGAGUUGUUGUAAAGUAUAGGAAAAGGUCAAGGGACCCUUAUUGAAAUUUUUGGUACAUUUUACAGAAGUCUCACCCAGCAACCAGGAAUUUCUAAAACAUGGCUGCUGGAAGAAGUGUAAUAUGUUUAUGUACACACAAACAAAUUCUUACCAAA